rnacentral:rRNA from 1 species
GACGAACGCUGGCGGCGUGCUUUACACAUGCAAGUCGAGCGAUGAGAUCCCUUCGGGGAAGGAUUAGCGGCGAACGGGUGAGGAACACGUGAGGAAUCUACCUUCAACACUGGGAUAACUCCGGGAAACCGGGGCUAAUACCGGAUACGAGACCUGCAGGCAUCUGUGGGUCUGGAAAGUUUUUCGGUUGAAGAUGAUCUCGCGGCCUAUCAGCUUGUUGGUGAGGUAAUGGCUCACCAAGGCGACGACGGGUAGCCGGCCUGAGAGGGCGACCGGCCACACUGGGACUGAGACACGGCCCAGACUCCUACGGGAGGCAGCAGUGGGGAAUAUUGGGCAAUGGAGGAAACUCUGACCCAGCGACGCCGCGUGCGGGAUGAAGGCCUUCGGGUUGUAAACCGCUUUCAGCAGGGAAGAAGCGAAAGUGACGGUACCUGCAGAAGAAGCACCGGCUAACUAUGUGCCAGCAGCCGCGGUAAUACAUAGGGUGCAAGCGUUGUCCGGAAUUAUUGGGCGUAAAGAGCUCGUAGGUGGUUCGUCACGUCGGAUGUGAAACUCUGGGGCUUAACCCCAGACCUGCAUUCGAUACGGGCGAGCUUGAGUAUGGUAGGGGAGUCUGGAAUUCCUGGUGUAGCGGUGGAAUGCGCAGAUAUCAGGAGGAACACCAAUGGCGAAGGCAGGACUCUGGGCCAUUACUGACACUGAGGAGCGAAAGCGUGGGGAGCGAACAGGAUUAGAUACCCUGGUAGUCCACGCCGUAAACGGUGGGCACUAGUUGUGGGGACCUUCCACGGUCUCUGCGACGCAGCUAACGCAUUAAGUGCCCCGCCUGGGGAGUACGAUCGCAAGAUUA